UUGAAAUCAUGGACAGGGAGGUGAAGCGUACUAAGAAAAGCCGCAUCCCGAUCGUGAAAGUACAGUGGAACGCGAAGCGUGGGCCAGAAUUCACGUGGGAACGUGAAGACCAAAUGAAGCAAAAGUACCCUCACCUAUUCUAGCAUUCUCAAAUCUAGCUUUCAAAAGAAUUUCGGGACGAAAUUCCCUCUAACGGGGGGAUAAUGUCACAAUUAGAAAUUUUUGUGCCUUGUAACCAACACUUAAACCAAAUUAUGAAUCAAAAACAUAAGAGCAUGUAUGAUGCAUACUCUAUGACAUCAAAACUUCAAUCAAACACCCCAUGCAAGCAUUUCGAGAAGUUAUUAAGCAAUUGAAAACCCUAGAAGUUCUUGUUUAAGUCCAUUUUUGGACUAGGACUUCCUUAUUUGGGCCCAUUGGACCAAUAAGCUUCCAAUUUGACCAUCUUGGGUUUAGAACUCUUAAAUGGGCUCUAAUUAGACCCACUUCCACUUAAUUCAAUAUUUUGGGCCAUACUGGACCUAGAAUGAAAUAGAUUAAUUAUAUGAACCAUUUUGGACCAUAAUUAACCUAAAUUAGCCUAAUUGGUCAUAAAAAUCACAUUUAUAUUUUUUUUAGGGCCAAAAAUUAUCUAACCUAGCUAUAAUAUGGGCUUAAGGGCAAAAAGCCCAAAAACCUCCUCUUACCCUCUCCAUUCUCGGCCCAAGCCCAAAAGAGUGAGGGGUUGACUUUGUGUGUGCCACCUCACAAUUGUUCAAGGGACUUCCAUGCAAGAGGACCCAAACAUCCNGUGUGUGCCAUCACAAUUGUUCAAGGGACUUCCAUGUAAGAGGACCCAAACAUCCAUGCACUCCCAUACUUCCAUGCUAGCCAAAUCUUUUUCUCCCUCUCUCUCUUACUCUCGGCCGAGUCCAAGCACACAUACACACACAUUUCACUCUCUUUUCUGUCAAGAAAACUCUCUCAUAUCUCAUCCAUAUUUCGAGAUCUAAGAAGGAUUCAAGGGGAUUCUUACACAAAUUCUUCAUCUAAGGUAAGAUCAAGUUUGGAUCUAUGUUAUAGGUUCUUUGUUUUAUCAAAAAUCUCCUUCAAACCCAUGUAAAAAUCAUGAUCACUCUCUUAGAAACCCUCUAAGUUCG
rnacentral:lncRNA from 1 species